rnacentral:rRNA from 1 species
GGUGGAUGCCUGGGCAGUCAGAGGCGAUGAAGGACGUACUAACUUGCGAUAAGCGCAGAUAAGGCAGUAAGAGCCGUUUGAGUCUGCGAUUUCCGAAUGGGGAAACCCAACUGCAUAAGCAGUUACUGUUAACUGAAUACAUAGGUUAACAGAGCAAACCGGGGGAACUGAAACAUCUAAGUACCCCGAGGAGAAGAAAUCAACCGAGAUUCCGGUAGUAGCGGCGAGCGAACCUGGAUUAGCCCUUAAGCACUCGGUGAAGUAGGUGAACAAGCUGGAAAGCUUGGCGAUACAGGGUGAUAGCCCCGUAACCGACGCUUCAUCGAGCGUGAAAUCGAGUAGGGCGGGACACGUGAUAUCCUGUCUGAAUAUGGGGGGACCAUCCUCCAAGGCUAAAUACUCCUGACUGACCGAUAGUGAACCAGUACCGUGAGGGAAAGGCGAAAAGAACCCCUGUGAGGGGAGUGAAAUAGAACCUGAAACCGUGUACGUACAAGCAGUAGGAGCACCUUCGUGGUGUGACUGCGUACCUUUUGUAUAAUGGGUCAGCGACUUAUAUUCAGUGGCAAGGUUAACCGUAUAGGGGAGCCGUAGCGAAAGCGAGUCUUAACUGGGCGCUCAGUCUCUGGAUAUAGACCCGAAACCGGGUGAUCUAGCCAUGGGCAGGUUGAAGGUUGAGUAACAUCAACUGGAGGACCGAACCGACUAAUGUUGAAAAAUUAGCGGAUGACUUGUGGCUAGGGGUGAAAGGCCAAUCAAACUCGGAGAUAGCUGGUUCUCCCCGAAAGCUAUUUAGGUAGCGCCUCGGACGAAUACUACUGGGGGUAGAGCACUGUUAAGGCUAGGGGGUCAUCCCGACUUACCAACCCUUUGCAAACUCCGAAUACCAGUAAGUACUAUCCGGGAGACACACGGCGGGUGCUAACGUCCGUCGUGGAGAGGGAAACAACCCAGACCGCCAGCUAAGGUCCCAAAGUAUUGCUAAGUGGGAAACGAUGUGGGAAGGCUCAGACAGCUAGGAUGUUGGCUUAGAAGCAGCCAUCAUUUAAAGAAAGCGUAAUAGCUCACUAGUCGAGUCGGCCUGCGCGGAAGAUGUAACGGGGCUAAGCAAUACACCGAAGCUGCGGCAAUAUCUUUUAGAUAUUGGGUAGGGGAGCGUUCUGUAAGCCGUUGAAGGUGAAUCGUAAGGUUUGCUGGAGGUAUCAGAAGUGCGAAUGCUGACAUGAGUAACGACAAAGGGGGUGAAAAACCUCCUCGCCGGAAGACCAAGGGUUCCUGUCCAACGUUAAUCGGGGCAGGGUGAGUCGACCCCUAAGGUGAGGCCGAAAGGCGUAAUCGAUGGGAAACGGGUUAAUAUUCCCGUACUUCUGACUAUUGCGAUGGGGGGACGGAGAAGGCUAGGUGGGCCAGGCGACGGUUGUCCUGGUUCAAGUGCGUAGGCUUGAGAGUUAGGUAAAUCCGGCUCUCUCUAAGGCUGAGACACGACGUCGAGCUGCUACGGCAGUGAAGUCAUUGAUGCCAUGCUUCCAGGAAAAGCCUCUAAGCUUCAGAUAGUCAGGAAUCGUACCCCAAACCGACACAGGUGGUCGGGUAGAGAAUACCAAGGCGCUUGAGAGAACUCGGGUGAAGGAACUAGGCAAAAUGGUACCGUAACUUCGGGAGAAGGUACGCUCUUGAUGGUGAAGUCCCUCGCGGAUGGAGCUGACGAGAGUCGCAGAUACCAGGUGGCUGCAACUGUUUAUUAAAAACACAGCACUGUGCAAAAUCGCAAGAUGACGUAUACGGUGUGACGCCUGCCCGGUGCCGGAAGGUUAAUUGAUGGGGUUAGCGCAAGCGAAGCUCUUGAUCGAAGCCCCGGUAAACGGCGGCCGUAACUAUAACGGUCCUAAGGUAGCGAAAUUCCUUGUCGGGUAAGUUCCGACCUGCACGAAUGGCGUAAUGAUGGCCACGCUGUCUCCACCCGAGACUCAGUGAAAUUGAAAUCGCUGUGAAGAUGCAGUGUACCCGCGGCUAGACGGAAAGACCCCGUGAACCUUUACUACAGCUUGGCACUGAACAUUGAACCUACAUGUGUAGGAUAGGUGGGAGGCUAUGAAGACGUGACGCCAGUUGCGUUGGAGCCGUCCUUGAAAUACCACCCUUGUAUGUUUGAUGUUCUAACUUAGACCCAUUAUCUGGGUUGAGGACAGUGCCUGGUGGGUAGUUUGACUGGGGCGGUCUCCUCCCAAAGAGUAACGGAGGAGCACGAAGGUGGGCUAAUCACGGUUGGACAUCGUGAGGUUAGUGCAAUGGCAUAAGCCCGCUUAACUGCGAGAAUGACGGUUCGAGCAGGUGCGAAAGCAGGUCAUAGUGAUCCGGUGGUUCUGUAUGGAAGGGCCAUCGCUCAACGGAUAAAAGGUACUCCGGGGAUAACAGGCUGAUACCGCCCAAGAGUUCAUAUCGACGGCGGUGUUUGGCACCUCGAUGUCGGCUCAUCACAUCCUGGGGCUGAAGUCGGUCCCAAGGGUAUGGCUGUUCGCCAUUUAAAGUGGUACGCGAGCUGGGUUUAGAACGUCGUGAGACAGUUCGGUCCCUAUCUGCCGUGGGCGUUGGAAGAUUGAAGGGGGCUGCUCCUAGUACGAGAGGACCGGAGUGGACGAACCUCUGGUGUUCGGGUUGUGUCGCCAGACGCAUUGCCCGGUAGCUAAGUUCGGAAUUGAUAAGCGCUGAAAGCAUCUAAGCGCGAAGC